rnacentral:rRNA from 1 species
UACAGAGGGUGCGAGCGUUAAUCGGAAUUACUGGGCGUAAAGCGCGCGUAGGCGGCUGCCUAAGUCGGAUGUGAAAGCCCCGGGCUCAACCUGGGAACUGCAUUCGAUACUGGGCGGCUAGAGUAUGAGAGAGGGAGGUAGAAUUCCACGUGUAGCGGUGAAAUGCGUAGAUAUGUGGAGGAAUACCGGUGGCGAAGGCGGCCUCCUGGUUCAAUACUGACGCUGAGGUGCGAAAGCGUGGGGAGCAAACAGG